rnacentral:rRNA from 1 species
AGAGGUGGCGAGCGUUGUUCGGAAUUACUGGGCUUAAGGGGCGAGUAGGCGGUAGAGCAAGUCUGAGGUGGAAUCCUAUGGCUUAACCAUAGAACUGCCUUAGAAACUGCUUUACUUGAGUCAGUGAGGGGAGGGCGGAAUUCCUGGUGUAGCGGUGAAAUGCGUAGAUAUCAGGAGGAAGGCCUGUGGCGAAAGCGGCCCUCUGGCACUGUACUGACGCUGAGGCGCGAAAGCGUGGGUAGCAAACAGGAUUAGAUACCCUGGUAGUCCACGCCCUAAACGGUGGGCAUUAGGUGUAGGGCUCGUAAGGGUUCUGUGCCGAAGGGAAACCAUUAAAUGCCCCGCCUGGGGAGUACGGCCGCAAGGCUA